CAGUCGCCACGGUAAUACGAAGGGUGCAAGCGUUACUCGGAAUUACUGGGCGUAAAGCGUGCGUAGGUGGUGGUUUAAGUCCGUUGUGAAAGCCCUGGGCUCAACCUGGGAAUUGCAGUGGAUACUGGAUCACUAGAGUGUGGUAGAGGAUAGUGGAAUUUCCGGUGUAGCAGUGACAUGCGUAGAGAUCGGAAGGAACAUCUGUGGCGAAGGCGACUAUCUGGGCCAACACUGACACUGAGGCACGAAAGCGUGGGGAGCAAACAGGAUUAGAUACCCGCGUAGUCCCUGUCUCUUAUAC
rnacentral:rRNA from 1 species